GGGCCCAUAGCUCAAUGGUAGAGCAGGACACUCAUAAUGUCUUGGUUCGGGGUUCGAAUCCCUGUGGGCCCA
rnacentral:tRNA from 1 species